CCUACGGGUGGCAGCAGUGAGGAAUAUUGGUCAAUGGGCGGAAGCCUGAACCAGCCAAGUAGCGUGCAGGAUGACGGCCCUACGGGUUGUACACUGCUUUUAUACGUGAAUAACGCGCCUUACGUGUAGGGCUUUGCAUGUACCGUAUGAAUAAGGCCCGGCUAAUUCCGUGCCAGCAGCCGCGGUAAUCCUGAAGGUCCGGGCGUUAUCCGGAUUUAUUGGGUGUAAAGGGAGCGUAGGCCGCAUGUCAAGCGUGCUGUGAAAUGUCCGGGCUCAACCCGGGCCUUGCAGCGCGAACUGGCGGGCUUGAGUGCGCGGAAAGCAGGCGGAAUUCGUCGUGUAGCGGUGAAAUGCUUAGAUAUGACGAAGAACCCCGAUUGCGAAGGCAGCUUGCUGCAGCGGAACUGACGCUGAUGCUCGAAAGCGCGGGUAGCGAACAGGAUUAGAUACCCCAGUAGUC
rnacentral:rRNA from 1 species